AUUGAACGCUGCGGCAGGCCUAACACAUGCAAGUCGAGCGGUAGAGAGAAGCUUGCUUCUCUUGAGAGCGGCGGACGGGUGAGUAAUGCCUAGGAAUCUGCCUGGUAGUGGGGGAUAACGUCCGGAAACGGACGCUAAUACCGCAUACGUCCUACGGGAGAAAGCAGGGGACCUUCGGGCCUUGCGCUAUCAGAUGAGCCUAGGUCGGAUUAGCUAGUUGGUGGGGUAAUGGCUCACCAAGGCGACGAUCCGUAACUGGUCUGAGAGGAUGAUCAGUCACACUGGAACUGAGACACGGUCCAGACUCCUACGGGAGGCAGCAGUGGGGAAUAUUGGACAAUGGGCGAAAGCCUGAUCCAGCCAUGCCGCGUGUGUGAAGAAGGUCUUCGGAUUGUAAAGCACUUUAAGUUGGGAGGAAGGGCAGUAAAUUAAUACUUUGCUGUUUUGACGUUACCGACAGAUAAGCACCGGUAA
rnacentral:rRNA from 1 species